rnacentral:rRNA from 1 species
UACGGAGGGUGCAAGCGUUAAUCGGAAUUACUGGGCGUAAAGCGCACGCAGGCGGUCUGUCAAGUCAGAUGUGAAAUCCCCGGGCUUAACCUGGGAACUGCAUUUGAAACUGGCAGGCUUGAGUCUCGUAGAGGGGGGUAGAAUUCCAGGUGUAGCGGUGAAAUGCGUAGAGAUCUGGAGGAAUACCGGUGGCGAAGGCGGCUCCCUGGACGAAGACUGACGCUCAGGUGCGAAAGCGUGGGGAGCAAACAGG